GGCUUAGAGUUUGAUCAUGGCUCAGGAUGAACGCUGGCGACGUGCCUAACACAUGCAAGUCGAGCGAAGCUGUUUCAAGGAAGUUUUCGGAUGGAAUUGAGAUAGACUGAGCGGCGGACGGGUGAGUAACGCGUGGGUAACCUGCCUCAUACAGGGGGAUAACAGUUAGAAAUGACUGCUAAUACCGCAUAAGCGCACAGGACCGCAUGGUCGAGUGUGAAAAACUCCGGUGGUAUGAGAUGGACCCGCGUCUGAUUAGCUAGUUGGUGGGGUAACGGCCUACCAAGGCGACGAUCAGUAGCCGACCUGAGAGGGUGACCGGCCACAUUGGGACUGAGACACGGCCCAAACUCCUACGGGAGGCAGCAGUGGGGAAUAUUGCACAAUGGGGGAAACCCUGAUGCAGCGACGCCGCGUGAGUGAAGAAGUAUUUCGGUAUGUAAAGCUCUAUCAGCAGGGAAGAAAAUGACGGUACCUGACUAAGAAGCCCCGGCUAACUACGUGCCAGCAGCCGCGGUAAUACGUAGGGGGCAAGCGUUAUCCGGAUUUACUGGGUGUAAAGGGAGCGUAGACGGCAUGGCAAGUCUGGAGUGAAAACCCAGGGCUCAACCUUGGGAUUGCUUUGGAAACUGUCAAGCUAGAGUGCCGGAGAGGUAAGCG
rnacentral:rRNA from 1 species